UUCUACGGGAGGCAGCAGUGGGGAAUAUUGCACAAUGGGCGCAAGCCUGAUGCAGCGACGCCGCGUGAGGGAUGACGGCCUUCGGGUUGUAAACCUCUUUCAGUAGGGAAGAAGCGAAAGUGACGGUACCUGCAGAAGAAGCACCGGCUAACUACGUGCCAGCAGCCGCGGUAAUACGGGAGGGGCAAGCGUUAUUCGAAAUGAUUGGGCGUAAAGAGUCCGUAGAUUGUAAAAUAAGUUAUUUGUUAAAUCAUAAGGAUUAACCUUGUAAAAACAUUUAAAACUGUUUUACUAGAGUUUUUUUCAGAAAAGUAGAAUUUCAUAUGAAAGGAUAAACCCUGUAGAUAUAUGAAGGAAUAUCAAAAGCGAAAGCAACUUUUUGGUAAAAACUGACGUUGAGGGACGAAAGUAUAGGUAGCAAACAGGAUUAGAUACCCUGGUAGUCCACGCCGUAAACGAUGAUAACUAGCUGUCCGGGCUCAUGGAGCUUGGGUGGCGCAGCUAACGCAUUAAGUUAUCCGCCUGGGGAGUACGGUCGCAAGAUUAAAACUCAAAGGAAUUGACGGGGGC
rnacentral:rRNA from 14 species